CAGCCGCCGCGGUAAUACGGAGGGAGCUAGCGUUGUUCGGAAUUACUGGGCGUAAAGCGCGCGUAGGCGGUUACUCAAGUCAGAGGUGAAAGCCCGGGGCUCAACCCCGGAACUGCCUUUGAAACUAGGUGACUAGAAUCUUGGAGAGGUCAGUGGAAUUCCGAGUGUAGAGGUGAAAUUCGUAGAUAUUCGGAAGAACACCAGUGGCGAAGGCGGCUCACUGGCUCAUUCUAGACGCUGAGGUGCGAAAGCGUGGGGAGCAAACAGGAUUAGAUACCCCCGUAGUCCCUGUCUCUUAUAU
rnacentral:rRNA from 1 species